CGAUCCUUUUGCAACGUUGCAGCGCUGAACUGCGCUAUACUGAGUGAGUAGCCACUGAAGAAGGGCGUGCAGCCGGGGAGCCUUCCUGGUCAAGUGGCGGAGCAAACAUUCGGUCGUUCGCGCUGAACUGCGCUAUACUGAGAGAGUAGCCACUGGAGAAGGGCGUGCAGCCGGGGAGCCUUCCUGGUCAAGUAGCGGAGCAAACAUUCGGUCGUUCGCUCAUUUUUCUACCACUGAAGCGACGACAAUGAAGACAAAUUAGCCUUCAACUUACUUGCGACAGCAACCAAAACUGUGGCAGUACUCGGCAGUGAUCAAGCAUGACAGCUAGCAAAACUGUGGC